CGCGGCUAGCCCGGGUCUAGAGAUCUGCCCGUCGUCCUGAUUAUAUCCUGCCACAGCUUUCCCCAGAUCGAAAAUAUUCUCUGAAGGAACAAGAAGCACCUGCCAAAGCCCCCUCUGAGAAAGCAGGCAUAGAAGACGACUCUGCUCGAAGGACGAUUCUGCACUGGAAAAGAAUAUUUGGCCCUAAAGAAAGUAUAAUAUGAAAAAUGAAAUGAUGCUUGUAUACUGCAUGAGUGACAAGGCACGGAGUACGGUAUGG
rnacentral:lncRNA from 1 species